AUUGAACGCUGGCGGCAGGCCUAACACAUGCAAGUCGAGCGGAUGAAGGGAGCUUGCUCCUGGAUUCAGCGGCGGACGGGUGAGUAAUGCCUAGGAAUCUGCCUGGUCGUGGGGGAUAACGUCCGGAAACGGGCGCUAAUACCGCAUACGUCCUGAGGGAGAAAGUGGGGGAUCUUCGGACCUCACGCUAUCAGAUGAGCCUAGGUCGGAUUAGCUAGUUGGUGGGGUAAAGGCCUACCAAGGCGACGAGCCGUAACUGGUCUGAGAGGAUGAUCAGUCACACUGGAAGUGAGGAUGGGUCCAGACUCCUACGGGAGGAAGCAGUGGGGAAUAUUGGGCAAUGGGGGAGAGCCUGAUCCAGCCAUGCCGCGUGUGUGAAGAAGGUGUUCGGAUUGUAAAGCACUUUAAGUUGGGAGGAAGGACAGUAAGUUAAUACCUUGCUGUAUUGACGUUACCAACAGAAUAAGCACCGGCUAACUUCGUG
rnacentral:rRNA from 1 species